ACUGCUCCCGGAGCCAUGAACGGAGAUGACAGCUCUGCAAAGAAACCCGGUGAUGAUGAGCAAAUAUCAGAGAAUAAACGCAAGGCCUUUGAUGAUAUUGCCCAAUACUUCUCUAAGAAAGAGUGGGAAAAGCUGAAAUACUCGGAGAAAAUCACCUAUGUGUACAUGAAGAGGAACUAUGAGGCCAUGAGUAGACUAGGUUUCCAGGUCACCCUCCCACUUUUCAUGCGUAAUAAACAGGCCGAAGACUCCCAGGAGGAUGAUUCUGAUAGAGACUCUAACCCCGGGAAUCUGGUUGAACGUCGUACGAUGACUUUUGGCAUGUUCCAGGGACUCUUCCCGCAGCUCGUGCCCAGGGAGCCACCAGAGGAAGAAAAUUAUUCGGAGGCAGUGCCAGAAACAUCUGGCACACAAAAUGAUGUGAAACCGCUGUGCUACCCACAGUGCACCCCGAUGUACUCCUCCGGAAAGCCAAGUACCUCUGAGAAGAUUAACAAGAUAACUGGACAUAGGGAGGCCCGAGAAAAGGAAGAGAGAGACGGUGAACAGCUCAUCGGUGGAGCAGUCAGAACACACACAACAUUGAUCGAUUAAGUUUGUCAUCUUUUAUGGGUGCAGUUCCUGGUACCCCCAAAACAAUUACACACAACAGGGACCCAAAAGGGCGAAACAUGCCUGGUCCCAUAGACUGCGUGAGAGAAAGAAUCUGGUGAUCUAUGAAGAGAUCAGCGACCCUGAGGAAGAUGACGAAUAACUCUCCUCAGGGAUAUGACACAUGCCCAUGAUGAGAAGCAGAACUUGGUGACCUUUCACAAACAUGGGCAUGGCUGCAAACACCUCGUCAUCAGGUGUAUAGCAAGUG